AAGAACUUAAUUUUGAAAGAUCCAUCACAAGGUGUAACUACUAUAUCAUCUCUUAAACAUAUAUAUGAGCAUUUGUAAUAAUGGAUUUGAUCACUUGUUCUUUAACUCAUCAUUAUGGCUUUUCUUAAUAGUCAUGUUGAUUUUGAUGAUCUAUAUAUUGGCAUAUGUUGAUUUUGAUGAUUUAUAUAUUGCCAUUAUGUACUUAUGUUUUUACUUAAGUUUUGAUGAUAAAGAAUGUGCAUUGAUGAGUACAUUAUAUUUGAUCACUUGUUCUUUAACUCAUCAUUAUGGCUUUUCUUAAUAGUCAUGUUGAUUUUGAUGAUCUAUAUAUUGGCAUAUGUUGAUUUUGAUGAUUUAUAUAUUGCCAUUAUGUACUUAUGUUUUACUUAAGUUUUGAUGAUAAAGAAUGUGCAUUGAUGAGUACAUUAUAUUUGAUGAAGCUUGAUCUUAUGCAAUCUAUGAUUAGUGAAUAUAUGCAUUUUUUGUACUUUAUCGAUAUAUUGUUGAAUAUGUCUUACUUAUUUUAAAUGAUAUCGAAAAAGAGAGAAUGAUUUAAUUUGUGUUAUGAAAAUAUAUGCAUGUAUCUAGGGGGAGCAUGUAUGCAGGGGGAGUUUUUAUUAAACUAUUUUCAAAUCAUUUUUUAACUUGCAUUGAUAAUUAUGGAGCUUGAAUAUUUGAUAAUAUGCAUGCCAAUUUGGUAAAGAAAUCAAAACCUCUUUGCGAAGAAGAAUUUUCAAAAAUUCGGCAUAAACUUGGAAUGAUUUGAUUUCUUGAUGAUUUUGGUAAUUGAUGAUUAUAUGUGUGUUGCUUGAUAAAUUGAAGGAGUUG
rnacentral:lncRNA from 1 species